UGCGUAGGCGGAAUAUUAAGUCAGUGGUGAAAUCCUGCGGCUCAACCGUAGAACUGCCAUUGAUACUGAUAUUCUUGAAUGUAGUUGAGGUAGGCGGAAUGUGUAAUGUAGCGGUGAGAUGCUUAGAUAUUACACAGAACACCGAUUGCGAAGGCAGCUUACUAAACUAUGAUUGACGCUGAGGCACGAAAGCGUGGGGAGCGAACAGGAUUAGAUACCCUGGUAGUCC
rnacentral:rRNA from 1 species